rnacentral:rRNA from 1 species
UUGGAGGGCAAGUCUGGUGCCAGCAGCCGCGGUAAUUCCAGCUCCAAUAGCGUAUAUUAAAGUUGUUGCAGUUAAAAAGCUCGUAGUUGAAUUUCGGGAUCAAUACGUCGGUCGUGCUUUUUUGGUACGCACUGGCGUCAUUGGUUUCUCCUUUCUGACGAACCAUGAUGUCAUUAAUUUGGUGUUAUGGGGAGUUAGGACUGUUACUUUGAAAAAAUUAGAGUGUUUAAAGCAGGCAUUAGCUUGAAUACAUUAGCAUGGAAUAAUGGAAUAGAACGUUCGAUCCUAUUUUGUUGGUUUCUAGGAUCAACGUAAUGAUUAAUAGGGAUAGUUGGGGGCAUUAGUAUUCAAUUGUCAGAGGUGAAACUCUUGGAUUUAUUGAAGACUAACUACUGCGAAAGCAUUUGCCAAGGAUGUUUACAUUAAUCAAGAACGAAAGUUAGGGGAUCGAAGACGAUCAGAUACCGUCGUAGUCUUAACCAUAAACUAUGCCGACUAGGGAUCGGACGAUGUUAAUUUUUUAAUGACUCAUUCGGCGCCUUACGGGAAAC